rnacentral:rRNA from 2 species
UGCAAGUCGAGCGGACAGGUGGGAGCUUGCUCCCUGAUGUUAGCGGCGGACGGGUGAGUAACACGUGGGUAACCUGCCUGUAAGACUGGGAUAACUCCGGGAAACCGGGGCUAAUACCGGAUGGUUGUUUGAACCGCAUGGUUCAAACAUAAAAGGUGGCUUCGGCUACCACUUACAGAUGGACCCGCGGCGCAUUAGCUAGUUGGUGAGGUAACGGCUCACCAAGGCAACGAUGCGUAGCCGACCUGAGAGGGUGAUCGGCCACACUGGGACUGAGACACGGCCCAGACUCCUACGGGAGGCAGCAGUAGGGAAUCUUCCGCAAUGGACGAAAGUCUGACGGAGCAACGCCGCGUGAGUGAUGAAGGUUUUCGGAUCGUAAAGCUCUGUUGUUAGGGAAGAACAAGUACCGUUCGAACAGGGCGGUACCUUGACGGUACCUAACCAGAAAGCCACGGCUAACUACGUGCCAGCAGCCGCGGUAAUACGUAGGUGGCAAGCGUUUUCCGGAAUUAUUGGGCGUAAAGGGCUCGCAGGCGGUUUCUUAAGUCUGAUGUGAAAGCCCCCGGCUCAACCGGGGAGGGUCAUUGGAAACUGGGGAACUUGAGUGCAGAAGAGGAGAGUGGAAUUCCACGUGUAGCGGUGAAAAUGCGUAGAGAUGUGGAGGAACACCAGUGGCGAAGGCGACUCUCUGGUCUGUAACUGACGCUGAGGAGCGAAAGCGUGGGGAGCGAACAGGAUUAGAUACCCUGGAAGUCCCCGCCGUAAACGAAGAAUGCUAAGUGGUAGGGGGGUUU